CCAGCAACUCCAAGCUGGUGGCUGCCCUGGCCAAGGAGUCAGUCAAUGCUGCCUUUGAGACGACGCUAACAGAGGGGAACAGGACAGAGAAGCGUCUCUUUUACGCCACCUUUGCCACUGAUGACCGCAAAGAGGGGAUGACGGCCUUUGUGGAGAAGCGCAAGGCAAAAUUCACCGACAGCUGAGCCCGAGGAGCUGCAGUCCCCAGGGAUGUGCAGGUCCCCAGGGGUGUGCAAGUUCCCCGGGCAUGUGCAGAUCCACAGAGUGGUGCAGGUCCCCACAGCCACCUGCUGCCCCUCUGCCUUACCCCGUGGAGGGGACUGGGACCCAUCGGCAAGCAAUGCUUGGGGUGACAACCAGCAGUGGGGACCACCUCUGCCUUUGCUAUUAAAACAUUUUCUAGGUGCUGCCGGGA